rnacentral:rRNA from 1 species
CCGCACGCGCGCUACACUGACAGAGCCAACGAGUUCUUCCUUAGCCGAAAGGUUUGGGUAAUCUUGUUAAACUCUGUCGUGCUGGGGAUAGAGCAUUGCAAUUAUUGCUCUUCAACGAGGAAUUCCUAGUAAGCGCAAGUCAUCAGCUUGCGCUGAUUACGU